rnacentral:rRNA from 1 species
ACAUGCAGUCGAGCGGACAGAAGGGAGCUUGCUCCCGGAUGUUAGCGGCGGACGGGUGAGUAACACGUGGGUAACCUGCCUGUAAGACUGGGAUAACUCCGGGAAACCGGAGCUAAUACCGGAUAGUUCCUUGAACCGCAUGGUUCAAGGAUGAAAGACGGUUUCGGCUGUCACUUACAGAUGGACCCGCGGCGCAUUAGCUAGUUGGUGAGGUAACGGCUCACCAAGGCGACGAUGCGUAGCCGACCUGAGAGGGUGAUCGGCCACACUGGGACUGAGACACGGCCCAGACUCCUACGGGAGGCAGCAGUAGGGAAUCUUCCGCAAUGGACGAAAGUCUGACGGAGCAACGCCGCGUGAGUGAUGAAGGUUUUCGGAUCGUAAAGCUCUGUUGUUAGGGAAGAACAAGUGCAAGAGUAACUGCUUGCACCUUGACGGUACCUAACCAGAAAGCCACGGCUAACUACGUGCCAGCAGCCGCGGUAAUACGUAGGUGGCAAGCGUUGUCCGGAAUUAUUGGGCGUAAAGGGCUCGCAGGCGGUUUCUUAAGUCUGAUGUGAAAGCCCCCGGCUCAACCGGGGAGGGUCAUUGGAAACUGGGAAACUUGAGUGCAGAAGAGGAGAGUGGAAUUCCACGUGUAGCGGUGAAAUGCGUAGAGAUGUGGAGGAACACCAGUGGCGAAGGCGACUCUCUGGUCUGUAACUGACGCUG